rnacentral:rRNA from 1 species
UACGGAGGGUGCAAGCGUUGUUCGGAUUUAUUGGGCGUAAAGCGCGUGUAGGCGGUUUCUUAAGUCUGAUGUGAAAGCCCUGGGCUCAACCCAGGAAGUGCAUUGGAUACUGGGAGACUUGAAUACGGGAGAGGGUAGUGGAAUUCCUAGUGUAGGAGUGAAAUCCGUAGAUAUCUGGAGGAACACCGGUGGCGAAGGCGGCAUCCUGGACCAAUUCUGACGCUGAGGAGCGAAAGCCAGGGGAGCAAACGGG